UACGAAGGGGGAGCUAGCGUUGCUCGGAAUCACUGGGCGUAAAGGGUGCGUAGGCGGGUCUUUAAGUCAGGGGUGAAAUCCUGGAGCUCAACUCCAGAACUGCCUUUGAUACUGAGGAUCUUGAGUUCGGGAGAGGUGAGUGGAACUGCGAGUGUAGAGGUGAAAUUCGUAGAUAUUCGCAAGAACACCAGUGGCGAAGGCGGCUCACUGGCCCGAUACUGACGUCUGAGCAGAAAGCGUGGGGAGCAAACAGG
rnacentral:rRNA from 1 species